UAAUGAUGGAACUCUGUCUCUAAUUUCAUCGAUAAAAGUCUUUCUCUCUCCCCUCAAAUAUCCUUUUCUUUUCCUUCCUCUUCUUUUGCGACCCACCUACCUUUCACCCAUUUUACUUAAACCAGUCGACCUUCAGUCACUUCAAACGUCGUCUAACCAUUAGAAGUCCGCCAACCUCUGCUUCAUCGAAUCCGCACCACUUUUGGCCAUUUUACCCCCAAAACAACCCCAAAUCGAACCCUCUCAUAUCACCUUCGUUUCCGUUUGUUUUUUAAUAAAUGGCUAACAGUUUGCUAUUACUUUCAGAGUCGGUAUGGACAGAUGAAGAAAUUUUUGGAUGCUUGGCACAAAACUGCUUUAAGAGACGAGAUCGAGUUCUAAUUUUUUCUACAGUAUCUCCUCCAUGGAAGCUAGCAUCGAAUCAGCCGGUCAUGAUCCACUUCUCAGGCACCCGAUCCAAUCUGUAACUUCAAAAUCCAAAUAUACCCUCAUUUCCCUAUAAAAUUUGCCUCGUCGCCCUAAUCUUCCAUGGCUUGACUCGAAAACCCGACCCAUAUGGACUCUCUGCAAAGUUUCCCUCUACUCUUGACUCCCCUCCUCAGCCUCCUCUGUCCUUAACACUAAACUCGACUCCGACCAUGACCUUACUCAAGAACUGAGUAUGGUCUCUGAGUUUCUGACUCUGCGAGGAUUUAGAGUGAAACCUAAUCCACCUCAAUUGCACCCUCGAAUUAAGCCUCGCACUUGCUUCUUCGAUCGCAUUGUUGACCUUUUUGGCAAUGUAAAUUCAAAAUUUAUCGAUCUAGGAUCCUUCUUUUGUUCUCGAAGCUCCGUUUCAAGUUCUAAUCAAUAUGGAGAAGGAUUGGGGAGAAGCUGCCGGCAUUGACCAAGGAGGUGGCGAGGGUGGAAACCAUCCGAGCAUAUGCCGUCGGUGGACAGAAGGAGAAACUUCUGGAUGCUGUAAGAGGAGAGGCUUCUAGAUUUAAAAGGAUUAAAAAAAAAAAAUGAAAACAGAAAAGGGAAGAGAAGGAUUGAAAAACAAAGUAGAAACUUAUGGACCUCAUAAUCGAAAAAAAUUAAAAGAGAGAAAGGGAGCGGAGAAAAAGAAGUGGAAAGAGAAGAAGGAAGCAUGAUCGGAUAUAACAACAAAAAAUUCUGGCUAAGAGAUACAAGAAUGAGGCUUAUGAAACACGACGUGCUUUGGGACAUGCAGAAUUGUCUGCAUAGAAGCAUCACAACUUUGGAAUGGGGGAACAGCUUUGUUUCUCUCUAUAGCGAGGAUAAUCCCAACCUGAUUUUUAUAAUGCACUGUUGAAGGUUUUUGGCUCAUUAAGUUUGAGAUGAAUUCAGGUUAAGGUUUUGUUCUUUCAUUAUUGUUGGUUUUUUUAUUUGCUUUUGCUUUGUCUUUUGAGACCCAAAAGCAAUAACGGUAAUUAUUGUAUUACACUCAGCAUGUUAUUGAUCAUCUUGGCUCAAUUGUUCUUGACUGUGUAUCACUUUUUUUUUUUUUUUUGCUUUUUUGGUUUCUUGAUCUCUCGCAUUUUUCCUUAUAAGUUAUUGUGUUGUUUUUCUUCUAUUUUUUGCUUUGUGUUUUAUUGCUUGGACGAUUGGUCUGUUAAGCAGUAGCUUUUAGUCAUAGAUCGUGUUAGUUGAGCAAAGGAAAAAAAGCAUGAAAUUCUUUGGAGCCACGACCCUGAUAAAAACUCCAAGAGUGAUGAUACAAACGGUCUAAGAAGACAUUUAUAACUUGUUGCACCAAAGUCUCGAAAUCUCUGCUCCCAAUCUCCAAACUCCUUCAAUGGCUAUACCACAAAUGAGUUCAUGGGAAUCGUCCAAAGUUAUAGUCAGCCCACCUACAACCACAACUUUGACAACCCCUCAGCAACUCUGUCAACCAAAAGUUAUUAUUUCUGCCAAUCAAACACCACAGUCGCUGCCCACAUCUAUAACUGGCAGACAAACAACGAGCUAACAUUUUCUAGAUAAAUCUACAACAAAAAGAUUUAAAACUGCUGCAACCGAAAUUGCAAUUAGGUUUGCAACAACUGAUAUGACCACCAACAUUCCAUUUACAUUUUCAUGUUCUUUCAUUUUCUUUUCUUUGCUUGUUUAACUUCAAAUUUUUUGCUCCUCCUUUAUUGCGAUAUCUUAUGAUUUGUAAGAUUCUGUUAUCACUUAGAAUUGGUUUUUUGUCUGCCUGCUUUUCCUAUUAUUAUUGCUGUCACCAGUUAAAUACUUCAUACAGAUUUUACUUAUUAUCUCCGAUCCCUAAUUAAAUAGCUCAUCAAUGAUUGUGAAGCUUGAUGCGCCAGUGCGGGAUGAAUCUUUCAUGUCUGGUAUUGAAGACAUACCAGUAACUCCUGUAAAAGUUGUUUUAGGCCACAGAGAUGAAUGCCAAACAGCUUAGAGCACUGCACACAGUGUUUCAUAAGAUGAAUAUGAAGAAUUUCUUGUAGGUUCUUCCAAGUAAGGUACAAAUUAAUAUUUAUAUCUCCUUAGAUACAAUUUAUCAUGUAUUAUCAACUUUAUUACUGUUUUGAGGAAAAAAAAAUCCAUGUGACCUUUUAAUAUGAUUUCAUUCAUAAGUUGCAAUGUUACUCUUUUGCACAUCCUUUCGGCUUUCGUCUGAAGUUGCUUCAGAAUAGAAUUUCAUAUGCUAUUGCCAUUAACUAUAAAACUUAACUUUAUUUAGAGCUUUUGUAGGCUUAUCCUUUAAUUACAACUAAACUUAUAGCAACCUACCUUUCCUCUUAAAAAAUAGCCUUUGACCAAAUUAAUGUUGGGUUAUCAUGCGUUCUCUCAUGUUUUAUUACUGGCAUAGCCCAGGUUGAAAGUUGGAACAACUUGAUGGAGCUUCCUAAGACAAUAGCCACCUACGUCUUGAGCACAUGUAAAAAAAAAAAAAAACAUAUUUACCCAACAAGCUUAUGAAGCACAUCAAAUAUUAUCAUCUUAGAGAUGUUUGCUGCUACCAUCGUGCUGAUAUUCUUUUUUUAUUUGUUUCCUUUUGGUAUAGUGUUCUGUUUUUUGUUGCCUCCCUCUUAGAAGCUUUGUAAAUACAUAAAAGCAUGUGCAAAUAGUUCUAACUCUCUUAAUGUGUUAAGGGUGGAAAGUCUUUUUCAAUGGUUGUUUCCGUUCCAUUGUUUUUUUUUUGGUGAUACUAUGUACAGAAAAAAAAAAAAAGAAUGGUAGUUGGAAUGUGUUUUGGGUUGCAUUCUGUUGCAUACAUUGGUUUGUCAAGGUUCAUAGAAGAUUUGAUGGUAAAUGGAUAAACUGACCUUCAGAUAACCACUUUGUAACAACAAAAUAGUUGGCCUUACUUUUUAAAUGCAUUAGCAGAAAAUCUAAAAUUUAAUUUUACUCGAUCAUUGUUUCUACAUACAAAAUUUUUAGCUUGAAAACUAUUAAAGAAAUGAUCCUACAUCCCACUAUUAAAGGAAUUGUUUGUAUAACAAUGUAUGCAAAGUUAUUCAAACCAAAGGAUAAUAUAAUAAUAUGAACAAGAUCAUAUAUAAAAAAUAAUGUAGAAAACAUAAUUUGUAGAGGCACGGUGGAAGAAUAUUUGCAAAAGUGUUGUAAAAGUGAUGUUGACUUGAUUCAUUGGUCAUUGACAAGAUCAUGCAUUCAGUAAUUGUCCACUAUCCAUAGUGUAGGUUUUUAAUCACUGAAGUAUGAGAUUUCUCAGAAUGUUCGUGAGGAAUGCCUUAUUCCUUUACUUUACCAAUUUCCCUUUUUUUUUUAUUUUUUUGUGACUUAUCAUAUAGUCUUACAUAUGAAUGAGACCUUUCUCAUAUUGUGGAUAAAUAUUCUUUCGUCAUAUUUCAUUUUUUAUGGCUGAAUGCCAUGAUUCAUGAAGGAGAGAAUAGGUGGUAUUUUUUUUUUUUGUUUAAUUGAAUAACACCAUUUUAUUGGAGGUUUAUCUAACCCAUGAAUGGGUGAUUUAUUCCAAUAUCUCUUGCUCACACAGAAUGGGUGGCAAACUCUCACGAUCAUGAAAACGUUUCUUUACUCUUUAUAACAGGUUCAUAUAAGAAAAUAAGUUAUGCAAUUAGCAUACUUUGAAAGCUUAGUUGCUAUACGACUGUUAGGUGCAUAUAAGACCUCAAAAUCAUAUUUAGUCACUUAUAUAACUAUUAGAUAUAUAUAGUAACUCUCAAAUACAACUAGAAUAAGUAUGUAGCAUUCUAGAUCCAUUCAGUUAUAUUUCAAGUUUCUCACGAUCUCUAUUUUAUCAUAUUGCUUGAUGUAUUUGUGUAUUCACAAUUAUGUUCUACUUUUCAAACAUAAUUAGUCGGCUUGUGAUUGCAGCCAUUGACACUAGAAUGAUUUUUCUUUCUUCUAGAAUUUUUUCAUUUCAAUUCAAUUGCUAUCCAAAUAUGUCCCAUUAAAUCAAAUCAUCUAUGACCAUUGGCAACAAUCUAAGAUAGCUAACAUUGAGCUGAAACUUUAAGAAACGGUCGAAAGUCUUUAAGGAUGCUAAAUAUGAGAUCUUUUGAUUUUAAAGGUCUCACACAAUAAGAAGUAAAAAUUUAUUCUUCUAUUGUCUUGUUCGAACAAAUGGACAUGUGGUAUGACACACAUGCUACAAUAUUACUCAUUUUUUCAUGGAGCAUUUGUCUUUAUCAGUUGAUAUUAAUAUCAUACGUAUAUGUGAUAGUUUAGAUACUCCUAGUAUCUAACUUUAAUCCAUAACUCGAUUCCACAUAAUCAAUAAGACUUUCAUUUAGCAUUUAAGACAGACAAAGUAACUUGUGGGAUUAUUCAUUUUCAGUCACAAAGCUCAAUAUCAAGUGACCUCAUCUUGAUCCCUUAUCAAGGGGAUUUCAUUUUAAGCUUGGGGCCAUAGUUUAAAACUAAUAUCAUUUACAUGGUGCCAAACCAUUAAGGCGAUUACUUGUGUGUAAAGGUCAAUCCUCUGUCAGACAUACCUUUCAAAUCAUAUCUUUUAUGUAUAUAUUCAUAUACAUGUGUGCACGUUUCACAAAAUAAAGUAUAAACUUUAACAACAUUAAUCUCAUUCAAUAUAAUUUAACUCAAAUGAAAAAAAUCAUAGAUUGUUCACAUGGAACAUCUUAAUCGAUACAUCUUUAUCUACACAACUUUAGAGAUUUCAUGUGGCUAUGAAACUUAUUUUUGGGCAUGAGCUUAGUUAAUGGAUUAGUAAUUAUCUCAUACGUAGAAAUGUAUUUGUUGACUUUUUUUGUACCACCAUAUCUUUUAUAAAAUUAUAUUUAGUAUUUUUGUAUUUGGUUUUUGGAAUUUGUUUGAGAAUGUGAUUGUUACUUAAUUAUUGCAAUUCACUAACAUUGAGUUAGACUCAUCUUUCUCAAUUCCCAAAAGAUUAAAAAAAUUUCAUAAGCUAAACAACUUCUUGCACUGGCACUGAAAAUGUUAUAAGUUUAGCUUUCAUUGUGGAUAGUGGUAUUCAAGUUUUUUUCUUACAAAUCCAAAAUAUAGCCCAAUAUUCAAUAAGAAACAUAGCGAGAGAUAGAUUUUUUUUUAUUUAAAUCUUCUUUUCAAUUAGCAUCCAUAUAGCUAAUUAAAUGCAGACAACUUUCUUAAUAGCACAACAAAUAAUCAACAGUCUUUAUGACACCUUGAUACCUUUAUCAUGGCUUUUGAAUGGGAUCAAUCUAGAUUGGAUUGAUAUUUGCUUACCAUGCUUAUGGCAUAGCAAAUGUUCGAUCUUAUGUACAUCAUAGCAUACAUAAGGUUUUCAAUAGCACUAGAGUAAAGAGCUUUUUUCAUUUAUUCCUUUACCUUGUGGAGUCCCAUGACAUGUUCUUUGACUCAUGCCUUCAUUUUUUGCCAUAGGAGUGUCAAUUGGUUUGCAGUAUUGCAUACUAAAUCGUUCAAGAAUUUGCUUAAUAUAUUACUCAUGUGAAAAAGAACAAUUUCUUGAAACAAUCUCUAUUGAUUUUUAAACCAAGUAUGUAAGCUGUUUCACAUAUGUCUUUUAUUUUAAAUUUGAAGACAACCAAUUUUCGUUAUAAUGGAAUACUCCUUAUUAUUUUUAACCAAUAGUAUGUCAUCCAUAUAGAGUUACAAGAUCACAAGCUUAUUUAUUACUUUUUUGACAUACGCGCAGUGAUUUUCAUCAAUCAGAAUAAAAUCAUAAGAAAUUAUUGCUUGAUGAAUACUAAUGUAUCAUUGCCUAAAAGAUUCUUUAAGACCAUAAAAUGACCUUAAUCAUUUGCACACUUUUAUGCUGUUAACUUCUGUUAAUAAAACCUAUAAGCCAUUUCAUAUAUAUAUUUUUUUCUAGUUUUUCAUUUAGAAAGAUACUUGUCACAUCCAUUAGAUGUAAUUCCAAAUCUAAACAGGCUACAGUGGCUAGAAUUGCGUCUUUUGGAUAAGAAAUCAAUUUUCAUAUGUUGUUUGAUUUUAAACUUCAAUUUUCUUUUUUCAUGGCUUUUAUCCACUUUUCUUUUGCUUAACUUGUGAUUCUUGUGAAACAAAUUCAUCAACUUUAGUCAUGCUUCCGCUUGGAUGAGAUAUUGUUGGUUAUUGAUUGGGAAUAUACAUUAAUUGAUUUGCAACUUACCAAAUCAUUUGCAUCCUUAAUCUCAUAAAGAGACAUUUUCUGACUCAUCUCACCUUUAUUUUGAAAACUUAUUUUCUUGAAAAAUGGCAUUCCGAGUUUUAAAAUUCAGUUACGCUUUCAUUUAAUUGUUCACUUAUGAACACAUCCUUUUGAAAUUUUUAGAGUAUCUUACAAAUAUAAUCUUUUUGCAUUAUAGACCUAACUUGUCAUGUUAAUUAGUAAACUCAAUAACAUAAACAGUACAACCUUAAGUUCUCAAGUUACUAAGAUUAGGUUUUCUACAAAUCCAUAAUUCAUAGGCAAUGGUUGUAAUUGGCUUGGAAGAUAUUCUAUUGAAUAUAUAAAUAGUUAAUAAUAAUAUUUCACACCAAAAAUGAUUUACAAACUCACUUUUGCCAAUAUUGACCUAACCAUUUUCAGAAGAGUUUUGUUUCCUUUCUCUACAUCACCAUUUUGUUGUAGAGUCGUUGGAAUGAUUAAUUGCCUAUUAAUACCAUUUUCAUCAUAUACCUAUUUGAACUAAUUAGACAAGUACUCACAUCUACAAUCAAUUCUCAACGCCUUAACAUUUUUAUCUAAUUGAUUUUCACAAAGUAUAAAUACUUUCUAAAGCAUUUUAAAGCUUUAGACUUGUGAAGAAUCAAAUAGACAAAAACUGAAAUAUGUGUUAUCAUUAAUAAAUAUGAUGAAAUAUUAACCUCAAUUGCGUGUUCUUACAUACAUUGGGAAAUAAAUAUCAAAAUGUAUUACUUGCAAUGGAACUUUAACUUUAGUUUCUUUAUCAAAUAGUUUUUUUUUUUGUCAGUUACCUUGCUAGACAGUUUAUACAUUGUAGACACCUAAUUUUAUUC